CCUACGGGAGGCAGCAGUGGGGAAUUUUGGACAAUGGGCGAAAGCCUGAUCCAGCAAUGCCGCGUGCAGGAUGAAGGCCUUCGGGUUGUAAACUGCUUUUGUACGGAACGAAACGGUUCGCCUUAAUACGGUGGGCUAAUGACGGUACCGUAAGAAUAAGCACCGGCUAACUACGUGCCAGCAGCCGCGGUAAUACGUAGGGUGCGAGCGUUAAUCGGAAUUACUGGGCGUAAAGCGUGCGCAGGCGGUUAUAUAAGACAGAUGUGAAAUCCCCGGGCUCAACCUGGGACCUGCAUUUGUGACUGUAUAGCUAGAGUACGGUAGAGGGGGAUGGAAUUCCGCGUGUAGCAGUGAAAUGCGUAGAUAUGCGGAGGAACACCGAUGGCGAAGGCAAUCCCCUGGACCUGUACUGACGCUCAUGCACGAAAGCGUGGGGAGCAAACAGGAUUAGAUACCCUGGUAGUCCACGCCCUAAACCGAUGUCAACUGGUUGUUGGGUCUUCACUGACUCAGUAACGAAGCUAACGCGUGAAGUUGACCGCCUGGGGAGACGGCGCGAAGUAGUAGUUAGAAGAAGUUAGAGNGNGNGAGNGCGACGACGACGACGAGGAGGAGG
rnacentral:rRNA from 1 species